GUCAUCUCUAUCGCACACCCAAAUCUUUUGAAUACAUUUUCCAUUGCCACAUGUAAAUUCGUCAUCUCUACAUGUUUCGUCUGAAGUGGACGAAAUAAUAAUAAAAAAAAAACAAGCGAUCAGCUACGAUGAUUAUAAUGGGUGCAUAAAUAAUUCAUUAUGAUAUUAGAUUAAUAGGUAGCGAAUAUAAGUUAAAGAUAUUAAGAAGAAAAUUGUAUACAACCAACACCGAGAAAAACUGAUAUCAAUUAAAUUACUGAUAUUAUAAAAUAUACGUAAGAAUAAUAAUACAAUUAAAUAUAAAUAUUAUGAUGGUAUAUAUUAAAUAGGUAGUGAUGAAUGUGAUGGUAUAUAUAAACGAAUCGUAAUUUUGGAAGGGAGGAGAAUGGGAAAAAAAAUCAAAAAGUUAUCGUGUCGUCGCUUACUGCACUCCUUCUCGUCUGAACCAUCCGAACAGUCGGGAUUACCGUCACACAUCCAUGUCAGCGGAAUACACUCGCCUUUGGCCUUACGGCAAGUGAACUCAUCUGUGUUGCAUACUCGUUUUUCUGAAAUCAAAACACAACAAGAAAUUCGUACAAAUUCAUGCAAAUAAUGAUGUUAAAAUGAUGGACGCCGAUGACGAUUUGAUGACUACUACAUUAUAAUAUGAUAUUAUUUUCAAAUUAUCUAUACGUGUGUAAUAUAUGUGUCAUGCUUGUGUGUAUUAUUGUGUUACUUCUAUUUAUAGUAUAUAUAUUAAAUAUGUAUUGUAAAUUAUAAGUAUUUUUAUAGUUAUUCAUUAGAUUAUACAUUAUGUUAUUGUUAUAUGAGUGGGUAGUAGGACAGUAUGUACAUGUGCAGAUGACACAAAAUAUAUUCAUAUUGAUAACAUUUAA